rnacentral:ncRNA from 1 species
AAAAACUAUUUGAAAGAAAGAGUAAAAAGAAUUUUAGUCUUUACAGAGAAGCUAUAUUGUGGUGAGAGUAGCAAGAUGAGAUCUUUUGAACAUGAUUCUUGAUAGGGUGGUUCGAUAUUUAGAAUCACACGGGAACUCCCGUUACAGAGUUAGUGUAUGAUGGUACAUGAAGAGGCAUUUUUUAUUUUAAAUGCAAUUAAGGUGGUAACGCGGAAUAAUUUCGUCCUUUUU